rnacentral:rRNA from 1 species
AACGCUAGCUACAGGCUUAACACAUGCAAGUCGAGGGGAAACGAUAUUGGAAGCUUGCUUCCGAUAGGCGUCGACCGGCGCACGGGUGAGUAACGCGUAUCCAACCUGCCCAUCACUUGGGAAUAACCUUGCGAAAGUAAGACUAAUGCCCAAUGACAUUUAUAGAAGGCAUCGGAAAUGAAUUAAAGAUUUAUCGGUGAUGGAUGGGGAUGCGUCUGAUUAGCUUGUUGGCGGGGUAACGGCCCACCAAGGCGACGAUCAGUAGGGGUUCUGAGAGGAAGGUCCCCCACAUUGGAACUGAGACACGGUCCAAACUCCUACGGGAGGCUGCAGUGAGGAAUAUUGGUCAAUGGGCGAGAGCCUGAACCAGCCAAGUAGCGUGCAGGAAGACGGCCCUAUGGGUUGUAAACUGCUUUUAUAGGGGAAUAAAGUGAGCCACGUGUGGUUUUUUGCAUGUACCCUAUGAAUAAGGACCGGCUAAUUCCGUGCCAGCAGCCGCGGUAAUACGGAAGGUCCGGGCGUUAUCCGGAUUUAUUGGGUUUAAAGGGAGCGUAGGCCGGAGAUUAAGCGUGUUGUGAAAUGUAGACGCUCAACGUCUGCACUGCAGCGCGAACUGGUUUCCUUGAGUACGCAUAAAGUGGGCGGAAUUCGUGGUGUAGCGGUGAAAUGCUUAGAUAUCACGAAGAACUCCGAUUG